CCCUUAUGAGCUCACAACAUUCCACAUGAACAACAACACAACAAACGUGUCUCCAAAUUAACAACUUAGCUGCAGAAAUUUUGGAGCCACUAAAAAAAACAUAUCAUCAGCCUAUAAACCCUUGACAAACCAUUGCAAUGUUCCAAAUAAAUUUAUUUUCUCUUUCUUUCCUAAACUUUGAAGACAGCCAAACAAAAAUCCCCAAUUACUUCAGCAAUCAAAGCCAACAAAACUCGACAUACUGUUGCUCAGUUUCGAAAAUUUACAAAAAAAUGAAAAUGACUUACCAGGGAUUACGGGAGGCCGCUGCCAGCGAGAUCUCAGAUUUUUGUUCUUCAGCUGCUCUCUCUGUUCUCCUUUUUUUUCUGCACCCCUCCCCCAAAAGAAAAAAAACGCUGCUGCCCGCGUUCCCCCUUCUUUGCCAAAAAAAACUCUCUUUUCCUCUCCUCCUCCCUUUUUUUUUUUAGCUGCUGCCCCCUUUCCUUUUUUUUUCCAGAUUUUUCCCCCCUUAAAUCUCCCGCUGCUUCCCGUCCUCUCCAUCACUUCCAAUCUCACCCACUCCCCUAAAAAAAUAAAAUAUUU
rnacentral:lncRNA from 1 species